rnacentral:rRNA from 1 species
CGGAGGGAUCAUUACACAAUCCAAAAUAUGAAGGCCAAAUGGCAUUUCGCGGCCGGCUGAAGUAUUUUUUUCACCCAUGAUCUUUUGCGCACUUGUUGUUUCCUGGGCGGGUUCGCCCGCCACCAGGACCAAACCAUAAACCUUUUUUUCUUAUGCGAGUUUCCAUCAAAGCGUCAGUAAAAACAAUGUAAUUAUUACAACUUUCAACAACGGAUCUCUUGGUUCUGGCAUCGAUGAAGAACGCAGCGAAAUGCGAUACGUAGUGUGAAUUGCAGAAUUCAGUGAAUCAUCGAAUCUUUGAACGCACAUUGCGCCCUUUGGUAUUCCAAAGGGCAUGCCUGUUCGAGCGUCAUUUGUACCUUCAAGACUUUGCUUGGUGUUGGGCGUUUUUUUGUCUCCCUCUUUCUGGGAGACUCGCCUUAAAACGAUUGGCAGCCGGCCUACUGGUUUCGGAGCGCAGCACAUUUUUUGCGCUUUGUAUCAUGGGAGAAAAGGACGGUACUCCAUCAAGACUCUACAUUUUUCACUUUUGACCUCGGAUCCAGUAUGGAUACCCGCUGAGCU